GCGACGUGUGUCUUUCAGGCGACGCUGCCAGCGUGACGUAUAAUCUAGUGGAUGGUUCUUCAGAAACAGCUCGUUAACCACCUCGGUAGCUUGCUAGCCAACAUAGCCGAAAGAUUCAAGCUAUUUAUACGCUUUCGGUCUAUAUUAGCUACUGUGUUUUAGACACACUUCUGUCGUAUCUACUUGUUAACCUAUUUAAUUUAAUAUUAUGUUAUUUGUAUUAGUCAGCUAUAGUAGCUGGCUGGUUAAGUUAGCACUAGCCUAGUUGCUAAUGAUAGCUAGCUAGCUAACAUCUCCGAACAUGAGCUCCCUAAACUUCUCCCCUCCUGUUAAAGAGGAGGAGGUCUGCUGGACGGAGAAAGAAGCUCUGGGGCUGAACAUUGUCGUGAAAGAGGAGAAGGAAGAGGAGGAUGUUACUGUUAAAAAAGAAGUAGAGGGUGAGGCUGUUACAGUGAAAGAAGAAGAGAAAGACGUUUCAGUGAAAGAAGAGGAAGACUCGUUCAGAGUGAAAGAGGAGGUGGAUGUUACAGUAAAAGAAGAGGAGGAUGCAGUUUUUGGAGUGAAGAAGGAAGGGGAGAUUACUGUCACAUUGAAAGAUGAAGAGAUGGAGAGAGGAGAUCUGAUUAACACCAGAGAGAGACGGGACUACCGUGGAUCAUCUGGGGAGCCUCAACAACCUGAUGAUGCUGACGAGGCAGAGAAGAGUCUCUCCACAUCAGAACUCCUCGAGAAACACCAGCACAGACCCACAGGGAAGAAACCUCAUUGCUGCUCUGACUGUGGGAAACGUUUCAAAUAUUCAUCAUACCUUAAAAUUCACCAGCGAGUACACACAGGAGAGAAACCUUAUAGCUGUACUCAAUGUGAGAAGAGUUUUACUCAUUCAACUAACCUGAUAUCACACCAGAGAACACACACAGGAGAGAAACCUUUUGGCUGUGAUCAAUGUGGGCAGAGGUUUACUCAGUCAGGUGCCCUGAAAUCCCACCGUAAACUACACACAGGAGAGAAACCUUUUAGCUGUGAUCAAUGUGCGAAGAGAUUUAUUAAGUCUAGCAAUCUGACAGUACACCAGAGAAAACACACAGGAGAGAAACCGUUUAGUUGUAAUCAAUGUGGGAAAAGUUUCAUUACAUCUAGAGAUCUGACUGUACACCAGAGAACACACACAGGAGAGAAAUCUUAUAGCUGUGAUCAAUGUGGGAAGAGUUUUAUUACAUCUAGCCAUCUGACAACACACCAGCGAGUACACACAGGAGAGAAAUUUCACCACUGUUCAGAUUGUGGAAAAAGCUUUUCAACUUCACAUACUUUGAAGAUGCACCAGAAAACACACACAGGAGAAAAAUCGUAUAGCUGUGAUCAAUGUGGGAAAAGUUUUACUCAGUCAAGCUCCCUGAAAUCCCACCAUAAGUUACACACAGGAGAGAAACCAUUUAUCUGUGAUCAAUGUGGGAUGAGGUUUAUUAAUUCUAGCAAUCUGACAGUACACCAGAGGAAACACACAGGAGAGAAACCGUUUAGUUGUAAUCAAUGUGGGAAAAGUUUUAUUACAUCUAGCUCUCUGACUAUACACCAGCGAGUACACACAGGAGAGAAACCUCACCACUGUUCAGAUUGUGGAAAAAGCUUUUCAAUGUCACAUACUUUGAAGAUGCACCAGAAAACACACACAGGAGAGAAAUCAUAUAGCUGUGAUCAAUGUGGGAAGAGUUUUACUAGGUCAAGCUCCCUGAUAUCCCACCGUAAACUACACACAGGAGAGAAACCUUUUAGCUGUGAUCAAUGUGGGAUGAGGUUUAUUACGUCUGGCAGUCUGACAGUACACCAAAGAACACACACAGGAGAGAAACCUUAUAGCUGUGAUCAAUGUGGGAAGAGUUUUACUACAUCUAGCUAUCUGACUAUACACCAGCGGAGACACACAGGAGAGAAACCUUAUAGCUGUGUUCAAUGUGGGAAGAGAUACUCUGAUAAAAGUUAUCUGAUCAAACAUCAGAAAAUACAUACAUGAAGGAGUUGUUUCAUGAUAUCUAUGAAAUAAUGUCACAAUGUAGAAUGUUUUAACAUUGUAGAAGGAGUAUUUUAAUGAUGUCAUAAUGUAGAACCCUAAACGUUUGCCCCUUGUUCUAUUGAUUUCAGCAUAUGGAUAUUAGCCUCAGGGGGAAAAUCCAGGCUCUGAAAUGAAAGAAUACACUAUUUAUAUGAUUUAACAAAAAGUGACUAACAAAAAAAGUUGUUACACUUACCACGUUGGUGACCCACUUGAAUGAAAAUGCAACACUUCAAAAUGUAGCUAGCUGAUUUCUACAAAUUGUCCUCUAACCAGUGAUGUACACAUUAUUCCUAGAUUCCGUGUGGUUUUUGAGCUGUUAGUUUUAACGGAGACAUUACACUUAAUCACAUGCGUCUGUGACAGAAAAAAUGAUGUAUUUACCUCAUUUGGUGGAUAUUUAACAAUUAUUUACUUAACAAACAGUACGAUAUUUCUGUCCUGCUAAUUCUGAGUUUUAUGGUGUUCACUCUAGCUUCCUGCAGCUAGUCUGGGUGUCGAGGACAUGGGCUUCAUUAGAGAUGGCUUGAAGCUGACGAUUGAUGUCGAGGACAUUAAAAACCAAACAGCCACAUUCCAUUCUAAGAUUAGUGGUACAGGUGAGACAUAUGUCUCCGGUCUGAUUGAGCCUGCAUUCCAUAGACAAUAUAUGGUGUAUGUUGAGCUGGGAUAGAGAGGAGUAGAACAAAGGACUCAAUGAUCCUGAGACAUCCUGGCAUCUGGGAUAUUAGGCCAGGGUCGGGGGUUAAGAUAACAACUGGGAUAUUUGGCCAUGGUCGGGGGUUAAUAUAACACCAGGUGCAGAUGAAGACAGGAUGAGCCCAAAGUGGCCACCCCUCCCAAUCUAGAUGGGAGGGGUGGAACCAAGCAUUCUGGGUAUUAGCUAUAUAAACUGUGCGUUGUCUGUAAAGGGUAGGCUCUCAGACUAACAGUCAGUUAAGACUGUUGGGCUGAUGGUUUCAUUAUUGCAAUAACUAAUCAAUGUUAAAUAAAGAUGAUUGUUUGAAGAAAUGUCCAAGUCUCUCGAAGUACGACACGACCCAAUUGAAACAAAAUACAACACUUCAAAAUGUAAAGAGAUGUUUUCUACAAAUUGUCCUCCAACCAGUGAUGUACACAUUAUUCCCAGAUUCCGUGUGGUUUUUGAGCUGUUAGUUUUAACAGGACGUGCAACCUCAUCUUCCCCCUCUCAUAUGCAAAUGAUUUUAGCAUAAUUCGAUGAGUGAUGACAAAUAAGUGUUGCUUUCCUUUGUUCAUUGAACCCUACAUUUAAAUACAUCCCUCCAAAAUGUAAUGACUGUCUUCUGCAGGUUGUCCUCUAACCUGUAAGGUAAAAGAUAUCUCCAAUUUCCAUGUGUUUUUUUAGUUGUGUUAGUUUCAACAGCACGUACAACCUGAUUUUCUCCCUAAUCGAUAUCAGUGAUUUAUUGCUGCUUGUGCAGUUUAUAAGGUGCUUGUUUAAAAAAUACAAGUAAUAUGAUUAUUGUGGCAGAUGUUUGUGUAAAUAGCACAUGUUAUGUUUAGGUUUUCAAUUGAUCCCAAACUGUUUCUACAUAUUGGUUAUUGAUUUGGACACGUUAAAACUGUGUUUUGACAUUGGGAUAUCCCACCUAGCAAAAUGUCAUUGAAAAGACGUUGAAAAUAAGACUAUUCCCGAGUUCGGUUUUAGUUGAAAAAAAAAGGACUUACUUUCAACGUACUUGAAGCUUUAUACACAUGGACGCAGUAUAAUACAUUUGUCUAUAAUCUAUUUGAUUAAUUGUUAUAAUCACUCCAGUAUUUAUUUACAAGAUUCAAGUGCUAGUAAUCUAAAUUAUUUAUGCAACCAACUGACAAUUUUUGGGUACAAUUAUAUUGACACUGUUGCCCUGCUUUUAGAAUAUCCGGGUUCAUUUUCAGAUGUGCCAACCCAAAUGUACCAGAACAUGACAUUGGGGACUGGGCCCCGAUCCAACAACAUGCCUAUCGAGUGAACCCUGAAAAGAGAGAGAAGCUCUGCAGUGAGGUGGAAAGUUACUUCGGAAAUUCCAGGAGUUUCCUAUUGAAAUGUCCGUGGUGAGGACAACAUGGUUUCUGAUUGUCUCAAGGGUGUGCAUUCAACAAGUUUUGCAUUUAGCCAGUGCGUUGCCAUGGAUCACAAUUUAUUUUGACUGCACGUUUUUCGGUAUUGGAGAAUAGUUUUGGGGCUCGUUCCAAGGGGGCGAGAGUUCUAGAAGCUAGUGAGUUUUAAGUUGUUGUUUGUUGGUGGUAAGCAUUCUCUUAGGGGGGAAGGUGUUACAGUCUUUGGUUUUUCCAUUUAUGUUUUGAGGUGGACACCAAGGAACUUAACUCUCGACUCGCUCCACUACAGCCUCGUUGAUGUUAAUGGGGACCUGUUCGGCCCUGCUUUUCCUGUAGUCCACGAUCAUCUCCUCUGUCUUGCUCACGUUGAGGAAGUGCCAGGUCUCUGACCUCCUCCCUGUAGGCUGUCAGGGAGAGGUUUAAAAUGUCAGUGAAGACACUUGCCAGUUGGUCUGUGCAUGCUCUGGGUACAUGCCCUGGUAAUCAGUCUGUCCUGGCGGCGUUGUGAAUGUUGACCUGUUUAAAAGGUCUUGCUAUGGAGAGUGUGAUCACACACGUCCGGAACACCUCAAUCAUGCUUCAGAGUUGCUUGCCUCAAAGCAAAAAAGGCAUUUAUGUCGUCUGGAAGCUCGUCUCCACCUUUUCUUCAGGUGAAUGACAGGGAUUUAGGCCUGGUCUCCUGAAAGCAGUAUAUACUUCACGUCAGACUCGUUAAAGAUUUUUUUUUGUCAAGUUUGAGGUGACUAAUCACUGUUCUGAUGUCCAGAAGCUCUACCAUGCGAACGAGUUCCCACUAGAGAACACAAUCACAUGCUGCAUGAGGUGUGGCUAACGUUAGCAAGCUUGAGCUAGAUACCAAGCUAGCAUACAAACUCGGUAGAAAUAGUGCAUUGUGGGUUAUGAGAAGAUAUCCAGAAAUAAGUUAAGAAAUAUGUUUUUGCUUUAUUAAAUAACUGUUUGUCCUUAUAGGUAACCAGAUCUUCAAUACAACUAAGUUACUAAGUCUUUAAACACACUGUGUUGUUACACUGGUGAGUAAAAACUCAUGCUUCCUACACUUUAAAAUGUAGUCUGAAAAUAAAAUAUACAUUUUACUCAACUGCGUCCAGUCAGCAGAUGGACUAGGUGCCGCUUAGGCCGCCCAUUGUGACUCGUGUCAAGAAUUCAGCAGUGCAAGUUUGUAUGAAGGUCUGGUUAUUAAAUGGGAUCAUAGUUCAAUAGUAAUAUCCUCUAAAAAGCUCUGACAAACGUUGCUGCCCUGUUUCCAGUUGUCCACAUGGCUUGGAGAACCUAUUCAAGUAAGUAAAUAGGUUUUGGAAAUGUAAAAAAACACAAUGUAUUAUUAGCUAACUAGCUACAGUGCAGGCUAAAUUAGCUAUCUAGUUGGCUAACUAACUAACUUCAAAUACUGUAUAGAUAGAUAGCUAAGUGAAUUAAAUAUCACCAGCUACCUAACUUCAUAUUAGCUCGUUAUCUUUAUGUAUUUAUCACUGUAAAAAACUAACUCCAAAUGCAUUUGUAGGUAGCUAGCUAACAGCCAUGGAGGGUGAAAGGAUAGCAGCCCCAACUGUCAGUGAGAGAGGAGGCUAUUCUGGAUCAGGCAGGUACUUUUGUGUAGUUCCUGUCCCUAGAAGUGAGUCAUGGAGAUAAUAGUAACAUAAUAUUCAGUGUGGUGUAAUUUGACUAGAAUGAAAUCUGUUUCUUGUGAGGUUUUCUGUCCUCAGAUAAAGAGCGCUAUGAAAGCCAGUCUACAUAUGAAGAGGUCCCAAUGAAGAGCAGUGGUUCUCAGUCCUGGCAACUCAGAGGGGCACAUUGUUGUUUUUGCCUUCGCACUGCACAGCUGAUUCAAAUGAUCAACUCAUCAUCAAGCUUCAAGUGAUAUCUUGUAACUUCCUUCAAAACGAUUGCCUAUAGUUAACGUGUAGGGCACUGCAAGGUCGGGUGACCAGGGUCAUCUGGGACUGCCUCCUGGAGGAAUUCAGGUGUGUGAAGGCUACCUGUGUCCUGCGUAACUUCAUGAGGAUGGACACAAGGACCGGGAGGGGAUCUGCAGCUCGCCGCAGUGUGCCAGAGGAGGAGUCUGCUGCUCUGCAGGAUGUUUCAAGGAUGGGGUCCAACAACGCAGCAAGAGAGGCAAUCCGUGUGCAGGAGAUCUUCACCUCCUACUUCUUCAGAGGGUGCUGUUCCCCGGCAACACCAUAGACUACACUAUGCACACCAUAGACUACACUAUACACUAACCAAAGUCUCUUUUAAGAGCCAUUCACAUUGCAAUAAGAGUAUUCUUCCAUUUACUUAGCUAUGUCAACUGCAGUUAUUCAAUUCACAGUUUCUAUCCCUUUGAUUUAUACUUCUCAGGUGAGGGUGCUGUUUAGGUAAGGGUGUGAUGUCUGUACAAAAACAAAACAGGCUCUUAUCCCGCUCUCACAUUCGACCCUAAAUACUCUAGGUUAUAUCAGCUGUGUCGGUGAACCCCUCCUGCAUCUGAACUGGCUACAUAGAAGUAGUAUUAAAGAGAUGCUUUACAUUGAAAUACAGAUAGAUGCAGUAGUCCCAGAGUUAAUGAUCCAAGGUCAGUUUUGCAUUUCACCUCCUGAUUGAUGAAUAACAAUGUUAGAAUAAAAAAUCAAACACAAGGCUUAAACAUGCUCUCUCUUCAUCUGUCUUGAUGUGAGAGGAUGCCAACCCCCAGUCUCAUCAUCACCACCUCACCUGCUUUUAAGAUGACCUUUUGGCCGACUAGAGACACUAUUAUGUAAUUGUGAUGAACUGAGAGAAUAUUUAGGUAGCACUGUGAUUCAUUAAUCAUGUGCUGCCUUCCCUGCUCCUAUGUGUUUACCUCUUUCCCCUUCUGUCUUUUACACCUCUCUCACCACCUCUUUCCUCCUCUGUUUUUAUAAUGCACAACAGAUGUGCAUUGAAGUACAGAUUGAACUUGUAUUUAUAACACUUGGACAAUGAGCUUUUCAAUAAAGUGUUUCACAUUCUCUACUGGUUGAAAUUAAGUGU